UACAUGGGGUGCAAACGUUGCUCGGAAUUAUUGGGCGUAAAGCGUGCGUAGACGGUUAUUUAAGUCAGGUGUGAAAGCCCCGGGCUCAACCUGGGAAUUGCAUUUGAGACUGAAUAGCUAGGGUGCGGAAGAGGGAAGCGGAAUUUCCGGUGUAGCGGUGAAAUGCGUAGAUAUCGGAAGGAACACCAGUGGCGAAAGCGGCUUCCUGGUCCAGCACCGACGUCAGGCACGAAAGCGUGGGGAGCAAACAGG
rnacentral:rRNA from 1 species